rnacentral:tRNA from 1 species
UGCGGGGUGGAGCAGUGGUAGCUCGNNAGCUCGUUGGGCUCAUAACCCAAAGGUCGGAGGUUCGAAUCCUCCCUCCGCUACAA